GACGAACGCUGGCGGCGUGCCUAAUACAUGCAAGUCGAACGCAGUGGGGACGGGUGAGUAACACGUGGGUAACCUCCCAUCAGAGGGGAUAACACUUGGAAACCGGUGCUAAACCGAUACUGAUGGAUGGACCCGGGGGGCAUUAGCUAGGUGGUGAGGUAACGGCUCACCAAGGCACCGAUGCAUAGACGACCUGAGAGGGGGAUCGGCCACACUGGGAGUUGGACACGGCCCAACCUCCGACGGGAGGCAGCAGUAGGGAAUCUUCGGCAAUGGACGCAAGUCUGACCGAGCAAAGCCGCGUGAGUGAAGAAGGUUUUCGGAUCGUAAAACUCUGUUUUUAGAGAAGCGGUAUCUAACCAGAAAGCCACGGCUAACUACGUGCCAGCCGCCGCGGUAAUUC
rnacentral:rRNA from 1 species